UUGCCCAACCGGAACCAGAGCCCACGUCAGAGUCAGCUGGUGCACGCAGCUCUAUUUAUGAGACCCUAUGAUCUUCACUGGUCUGAGAAUAUGUCACCCAGCAAUGUCCAGCUGAUCUCAAAGGCCUCUUAUUGCGAAGAAUUUCUGCGGCAGUAUACUUGCUGAUUGCUUCGUUCUCACUCCUCACAACAACCAGCUAAGACACUGCCAGAGAAACACCCACAGCAGCCGCAUCCAAACAGCCCUCCUCCGUCUCCACUUCCUUUCUGCUGUGGGAUGCCACGCUGUUUGCUGGCCUCAUGCUCUCUUCAUACAAGAGCUUUGGUGUCUACGAUUGUAUUGCUUACUGUGAAGCUAUUUCGGGCCGACUGACCAUUCCAUACUGUCCUGUCCC
ensembl:lncRNA